UACGUAGGGGGCGAGCGUUGUCCGGAAUCAUUGGGCGUAAAGCGCACGUAGGCGGAUUGUUAAGUCAGGGGUGAAAUCCUGGAGCUCAACUCCAGAACUGCCUUUGAUACUGGCGAUCUCGAGUCCGGGAGAGGUGAGUGGAACUGCGAGUGUAGAGGUGAAAUUCGUAGAUAUUCGCAAGAACACCAGUGGCGAAGGCGGCUCACUGGCCCGGUACUGACGCUGAGGUGCGAAAGCGUGGGGAGCAAACAGG
rnacentral:rRNA from 1 species